AGAGCUACGAAGGCGAAGGAAGAGCCCCUCCCCUUGGACGCCCUUUCAACGGGAGCCGGAAGAAGCGGGGAUCCUGCAGCGCCUGCCUCUUCCCCUUCGGCCCAAGAAAGGCGCCUGGAGGAGAGAAGCGGGGCUUUUGGGCCGCCUCCUGGAUCGGGACCUGGACGGAGGUGGGCCCUGGAGGGGGGGCAGGUCGGGAAGGUGAGAAUAAAACAAAAUGGCCAAAGGAAGGGGUGAGACUCAGCUGAUUGCUCUUUGCUGUUUUUGGACCCAAAAACCAAUAACCAAAUCCCAGAUCCCUCCAACAUUUGCAAGGAAGGGGUGAGACUGAGCUGAGUUGUCUUUGCUGAUUUGGGGCCGACAAACAAAAAGCCAAAUCCAAGAUCCCUCCAGGAUUUGCAAGGAAGGGGUGAGACUGAGCUGAAUUCUCUUUGCUGUUUUUAGGACCAAAACUGAAGAACCAAAUCCCAGAUCCCUCCAACAUU